rnacentral:rRNA from 1 species
UACGAGUGCCCCAAGCGUUAUCCGGAAUCAUUGGGCGUAAAGGGUGUGUAGGUUGUCUUGUUAGUCUUCUGUGAAAUUCUUCGGCUUAACCGGGGGUCCGCAGGGGAAACGGCAAGACUAGAGGAUGUGAGAGGUGAAUGGAACUCAUGGUGUAGGGGUGAAAUCCGUUGAUAUCAUGGGGAACACCAAAAGCGAAGGCAAUUCACUGGCGCAUUCCUGACACUCAAACACGAAAGCGUGGGUAGCGAAUGGG